rnacentral:rRNA from 1 species
UACGAGUGCAUCAAGCGUUAUCCGGAAUUAUUGGGCGUAAAGGUUGUGUAGGUGGUUGUAUUAGUCUUCUGUUAAAUUCUUCGGCUUAACCGGGGGCAUGCAGGGGAAACGGUACAACUAGAGGAUGCGAGGGGUCUGUGGAACUCAUAGUGUAGCGGUGAAAUGCGCAGAUAUCAGGAGGAACACCGAUGGCGAAGGCAGGUCUCUGGGCCACUACUGACGCUGAGAAGCGAAAGCAUGGGGAGCGAACAGG